rnacentral:lncRNA from 1 species
UUCCAUUGUCUCAGGAAUGUUCAAUGAAUGGAAUCCUGUGUGGCCUGAGCCCUCAGGAGGCUCAGUCACACUCUCCUAGAGCACAGCCAUCAUCUCCCAGGCAUCACAGGCCUGGUCACAUGGGAUGCUACCCUCUACCUUGCAGAAUGGGCCAUCGAGAACCCGGCAGCCUUCACUCAUAGGACUGUCCUAGAGCUUGGCAGUGGUGCUGGCCUCACAGCCCUGGCCAUCUGCAAGAUGUGCCGCCCCCGGGCAUACAUCUUCAGCGACUGUCACAGCCGGGUCCUCAAACAGCUCCGAGGGAAUGUCCUUCUCAAUGGCCUCUCAUUAGAGGCAGACAUCACUGCCAACUUAGCCCCAGAGUGACAGUGGCCCAGCUGGACUGGGACAUCGCGAUGGUCCAUCAGCUCUCUGCCAUCCAGCCAGAUGUUGUCAUUGCAGCAGACGUGCUGUAUUGCCCAGAAGCCAUCGUGUUGC